rnacentral:rRNA from 1 species
AGAGUUUGAUCCUGGCUCAGAACGAACGCUGGCGGCGUGGAUUAGGCAUGCAAGUCGAACGGGAUCACUUGGAUUCAAUUCUUCGGAAGAGAAACCUUGUGUGGGAGUGGCGAACUGGUGAGGAACGCGUGGGCAACUUGCCCGUGAGUUCGGGAUAGCCUUCCGAAAGGAGGGGUAAUACCGGAUGUGGUAUUCCAUCGCAUGAUGGAUGAUCUAAAGGUGGGGAUCUUCGGACCUGCCGCUCAUGGAUGGGCCCGCGUACUAUCAGCUUGUUGGUGAGGUAAUGGCUCACCAAGGCUUUGACGGUUAGCUGGUCUGAGAGGAUGGUCAGCCACACUGGGACUGAGACACUGCCCAGACUCCUACGGGAGGCUGCAGUCGAGAAUCAUUGUCAAUGCACGAAAGUGUGAACAUGCGACGCCGCGUGGAGGAUGAAGGCUUUCGGGUUGUAAACUCCUGUCAGAAGGGAACAAUGGCCCAGGUGCUAAUAACGCUUGGGUUUGAUGGUACCUUCAGAGGAAGCCACGGCUAACUCUGUGCCAGCAGCCGCGGUAAUACAGAGGUGGCGAGCGUUGUUCGGAUUUACUGGGCGUAAAGGGUGCGUAGGCGGCCAUGUGUGUCGGAUGUGAAAUCUCACUGCUCAACGGUGAAACUGCAUCUGAAACUGCGUGGCUAGAGUACAGGAGAGGAGAGAGGAAU